rnacentral:rRNA from 1 species
AUUGAACGCUGGCGGCAUGCCUUACACAUGCAAGUCGAACGGUAACAGGUCUUUCGGGAUGCUGACGAGUGGCGAACGGGUGAGUAAUACAUCGGAACGUGCCUAGUAGUGGGGGAUAACUACUCGAAAGAGUGGCUAAUACCGCAUGAGAUCUAUGGAUGAAAGCAGGUGACCUUUGGGCCUUGUGCUACUAGAGCGGCCGAUGGCAGAUUCGGUAGUUGGUGGGAUAAAAGCUUACCAAGCCUACGAUCUGUAGCUGGUCUGAGAGGACGAUCAGCCACACUGGGACUGAGACACGGCACAGACUCCUGCGGGAGGCAGCAGUGGGGAAUUUUGGACAAUGGGCGCAAGCCUGAUCCAGCAAUGCCGCGUGCAGGAUGAAGGCCUUCGGGUUGUAAACUGCUUUUGUACGGAACGAAAAGACUUGGGUUAAUACCCUGGGAUCAUGACGGUACCGUAAGAAUAAGCACCGGCUAACUACGUG